AGAGUUUGAUCAUGGCUCAGGAUGAACGCUAGCGGCAGGCUUAACACAUGCAAGUCGAGGGGUAACAUUGGAGCUUGCUUCAGAUGACGACCGGCGCACGGGUGCGUAACGCGUAUACAAUCUACCUUUUACACUGGGGGAUAGCCUUUAGAAAUGAAGAUUAAUACCCCAUAGUAUCCCGAAACCGCAUGGUAUUCGGGAUUAAAGAUUUAUCGGUAAAAGAUGAGUAUGCGUCCUAUUAGCUAGAUGGUAAGGUAACGGCUUACCAUGGCAACGAUAGGUAGGGGCCCUGAGAGGGGGAUCCCCCACACUGGUACUGAGACACGGACCAGACUCCUACGGGAGGCAGCAGUGAGGAAUAUUGGACAAUGGGCGAGAGCCUGAUCCAGCCAUGCCGCGUGCAGGAAGACUGCCCUAUGGGUUGUAAACUGCUUUUAUACAGGUAGAAACACUCUCACGUGUGAGAAUUUGACGGUACUGUAAGAAUAAGGAUCGGCUAACUCCGUGCCAGCAGCCGCGGUAAUACGGAGGAUCCAAGCGUUAUCCGGAAUCAUUGGGUUUAAAGGGUCCGUAGGUUGUUAAUUAAGUCAGAGGUGAAAUCCUGCAGCUCAACUGUAGAAUUGCCUUUGAUACUGAUUAACUUGAGUUAUUAUGAAGUAGUUAGAAUAUGUAGUGUAGCGGUGAAAUGCAUAGAUAUUACAUAGAAUACCAAUUGCGAAGGCAGAUUACUAAUAAUCAACUGACACUGAUGGACGAAAGCGUGGGGA
rnacentral:rRNA from 1 species